rnacentral:lncRNA from 1 species
GUAUGGAAUUAGAAUGUUUACCUGAAGGAAUGCAGUAUCUGAAGUCACUUCGGACACUUGUCCUGAAGCACUGUGAUAGUCUUGUCUCAUUGCCACGGAGCCUGAAAUUCCUAAGCAAGUUAGAACACCUUGAAAUAGUUGGUUGCCUUCGAAUCAAUUUGAAAAUGGAACUAGAAGAGGAAGAAAAAGACCUUCAGUUGAGCCUUAAAACUCUCUCUCUCACUCUUCGUAUUACCUGCCUUAAGAGAUUUGCCACGAUUGCUUCUUCAAGGAUCUUCUUCCACUUUGCAGCAAUUACGAAUUCAGUUUUGUCAAAACUUGUCCGUUCUACCAGCAUGGCUACCGAAUCUCACUUCUCUUCAAAAACUUGAGAUUUUUAAUUGCUUUAAUUUGUGGGAUCUACCGGAGGGAAUAGACCGCCUCACCAACCUUAGAGAAUUGAGAAUUUACGGAUGUCCGGAGUUGAGCAAAAG